GAACGGUAAGGCCUUCGGGUACACGNGUGGCGAACGGGUGAGUAACGCGUGAGUAACCUGCCCUUCACUCUGGGAUAACAGUUGGAAACGGCUGCUAAUACCGGAUAUUCAGCUCCUGUCGCAUGGUGGGGGUUGGAAAGUUUUGGUGGUGGAGGAUGGGCUCGCGUCCUAUCAGCUUGUUGGUGGGGUGAUGGCCUACCAAGGCGUCGACGGGUAGCCGGCCUGAGAGGGCGACCGGCCACAUUGGGACUGAGAUACGGCCCAAACUCCUACGGGAGGCAGCAGUGGGGAAUAUUGCACAAUGGGCGGAACUUGAUGCAGCAACGCCGCGUGCGGAUGACGGCCUUCGGGUUGUAAACGCUUUCAGCAGGGACGAAGCGCAAGUGACGGUACCUGCAGAAGAAGCACCGGCUAACUACGUGCCAGCAGCCGCGGUGAUACGUAGGUGCGAGCGUUGUCCGGAUUUAUUGGGCGUAAGAGCUUGUAAGCGGUUGGUUGCGUCGAAAAUGCAACUCAGGCUUAACUCUGACCUGCUUCGAUACGGGCUGACUGGAGAGUAGGGAAAUGAUCCGGUGAGCGGUGGAUCGCGAUACUGGGAGACACAAAUGCGUAAGCGGUCUCUUGCCAUUCCUUCAGCUGAGAAGCGAAAGCGUGGGGAGCAAACAGGCUUAGAUACCCUGGUAGUCCACGCUGUAAACGGUGGGUACUAGGUGUGGGGGACAUUCCACGUUCUCUGUGCCGUAGUAACGCAUAAGUACCCGCCUGGGGAGUACGGCGCAAGGCUAAAACUCAAAGGAAUUGACGGGGCCCGCACAAGCGGCGGAGCAUGCGGAUUAAUUCGAUGCAACGCGAAGAACCUUACCUGGGUUUGACAUAUAUCGGAAACGUUCAGAGAUGGGCGCCCCGUAAGGUCGGUAUACAGGUGGUGCAUGGCUGUCGUCAGCUCGUGUCGUGAGAUGUUGGGUUAAGUCCCGCAACGAGCGCAACCCUCGUCCAAUGUUGCCAGCGGGUUAUGCCGGGGACUCAUUGGAGACCGCCGGGGUCAACUCGGAGGAAGGUGGGGAUGACGUCAAGUCAUCAUGCCCCUUAUGUCCAGGGCUUCACGCAUGCUACAAUGGCCGGUACAAAGAGUUGCGAGCCUGUGAGGGUGAGCGAAUCUCAAAAAGCCGGUCUCAGUUCGGAUUGGGGUCUGCAACUCGACCCCAUGAAGUCGGAGUCGCUAGUAAUCGCAGAUCAGCAACGCUGCGGUGAAUACGUUCCCGGGGCUUGUACACACCGCCCGUCAAGUCAUGAAAGUCGGUAACACCCGAACCGGUGGCCUAACCCGUUUGGGGGGGAGCUGUC
rnacentral:rRNA from 1 species